rnacentral:lncRNA from 1 species
CCCUUCUCAUACCUUUCCACUUCCUAAAGUAUUCAUUAGAUGUGAUGACUUUUUCCAUAAUAGUCCUCCUUUCCUCUUUCCAGGGAAUGACGUCCCUUUAUUUUGCCCUGCCUCAACUGCUUUUCUCAACUACUCCACGAUGUUCUGAAAAACGAAACAAAACAAAGAGCUGGGAUCACACAGUGAGGACCUGCACCCAAUCUGUCUGGCUCCAAAGCCCGGGCUGUCUCUACGACAUCACAACGUCCCCUUUCUCUGACCACUGGGAUUCACCCUCUGAAAGCUCCCUGCCCUCAGAGUCUCUGGCCCAUGCCUUUGUGUCCCCCGUGAACAGAACGAGCUGUCUUGGAUGAAUUC